rnacentral:rRNA from 1 species
GACGAACGCUGGUGGCGUGCUUAACACAUGCAAGUCGAACGGAAAGGCCCUGCUUUUGUGGGGUGCUCGAGUGGCGAACGGGUGAGUAACACGUGAGUAACCUGCCCUUGACUUUGGGAUAACUUCAGGAAACUGGGGCUAAUACCGGAUAGGAGCUCCUGCUGCAUGGUGGGGGUUGGAAAGUUUCGGCGGUUGGGGAUGGACUCGCGGCUUAUCAGCUUGUUGGUGGGGUAGUGGCUUACCAAGGCUUUGACGGGUAGCCGGCCUGAGAGGGUGACCGGCCACAUUGGGACUGAGAUACGGCCCAGACUCCUACGGGAGGCAGCAGUGGGGAAUAUUGCACAAUGGGCGGAAGCCUGAUGCAGCAACGCCGCGUGCGGGAUGACGGCCUUCGGGUUGUAAACCGCUUUCGCCUGUGACGAAGCGUGAGUGACGGUAAUGGGUAAAGAAGCACCGGCUAACUACGUGCCAGCAGCCGCGGUGAUACGUAGGGUGCGAGCGUUGUCCGGAUUUAUUGGGCGUAAAGGGCUCGUAGGUGGUUGAUCGCGUCGGAAGUGUAAUCUUGGGGCUUAACCCUGAGCGUGCUUUCGAUACGGGUUGACUUGAGGAAGGUAGGGGAGAAUGGAAUUCCUGGUGGAGCGGUGGAAUGCGCAGAUAUCAGGAGGAACACCAGUGGCGAAGGCGGUUCUCUGGGCCUUUCCUGACGCUGAGGAGCGAAAGCGUGGGGAGCGAACAGGCUUAGAUACCCUGGUAGUCCACGCUGUAAACGGUGGGUACUAGGUGUGGGGUCCAUUCCACGGGUUCCGUGCCGUAGCUAACGCUUUAAGUACCCCGCCUGGGGAGUACGGCUGCAAGGCUAAAACUCAAAGGAAUUGACGGGGCCCCGCACAAGCGGCGGAGCAUGCGGAUUAAUUCGAUGCAACGCGUAGAACCUUACCUGGGUUUGACAUGGAUCGGGAGUGCUCAGAGAUGGGUGUGCCUCUUUUGGGGUCGGUUCACAGGUGGUGCAUGGCUGUCGUCAGCUCGUGUCGUGAGAUGUUGGGUUAAGUCCCGCAACGAGCGCAACCCUUGUUCACUGUUGCCAGCACGUUAUGGUGGGGACUCAGUGGAGACCGCCGGGGUCAACUCGGAGGAAGGUGGGGAUGACGUCAAGUCAUCAUGCCCCUUAUGUCCAGGGCUUCACGCAUGCUACAAUGGCUGGUACAGAGAGUGGCGAGCCUGUGAGGGUGAGCGAAUCUCGGAAAGCCGGUCUCAGUUCGGAUUGGGGUCCGCAACUCGACCUCAUGAAGUCGGAGUCGCUAGUAAUCAAAGAUCAGCAACGCUGCGGUGAAUACGUUCCCGGGGC